UACGUAGGGGGCAAGCGUUGUCCGGAAUCAUUGGGCGUAAAGAGCGUGUAGGCGGCUCGGUAAGUCCGCUCUGAAAGCCCGGGGCUCAACCCCGGGAGGCGGGCGGAUACUGUCGAGCUAGAGUCCGGAAGAGGCGAGUGGAAUUCCUGGUGUAGCGGUGAAAUGCGCAGAUAUCAGGAGGAACACCAAUGGCGAAGGCAGCUCGCUGGGACGGUAUUGACGCUAAGGCGCGAAAGCGUGGGGAGCAAACAGGG
rnacentral:rRNA from 1 species